rnacentral:rRNA from 1 species
UACGUAGGGUGCAAGCGUUAAUCGGAAUUACUGGGCGUAAAGCGUGCGCAGGCGGUUUGCUAAGACAGGUGUGAAAGCCCCGGGCUUAACCUGGGAAUUGCGCUUGUGACUGGCAGACUGGAGUGUGGCAGAGGGAGGUGGAAUUCCACGUGUAGCAGUGAAAUGCGUAGAGAUGUGGAGGAACACCGAUGGCGAAGGCAGCCCCCUGGGCUAACACUGACGCUCAUGCACGAAAGCGUGGGGAGCAAACAGG